UUAGACUCCAUACCCGAUGAUCCCCUCAAAAGGGGGCUUAAUAGAAGACGGUGUCCUGACCUAAACUUUUAAUCCCAAUCGAAAUUAAUAAAAACCAAAUAAAAAUACAUAAUACCCAUAACAUUUUAAAUAAAUUUAAAGUGUAUCCGCUGGGUUACUCCUUUUAUCAAGUAAUUCACGUCAAUUGCUGUUAUCAUAGAACAUAUAUUCUUACUGUAAAAUCAGUUUACAGUGUGUGUAUUUAAAAAGAAAGAAAAGAGAAAAGACGAUUAAUAUACGCACACACGUAAUAUGAAAACUUUUUCGGUCGCUAACGUUGAGUCAUUACUGUCGUUAUUUCUCGACUAAACAAACGCGAAUGUCAAAGCGUUUAUUGUAAUGGCUUUUUCCCGGUGUGAAAAUUCUAAUGUACCGUACGGCGGUAUCCGCGGCGUCGCGCAUCGAUACGGCGGAAAAGAAAAAUUAAAUACAAAACCGACGGAUAUAAAAAUAUCUCGCGCGUAUUUCGUACGCAUACAUGCGACCGGCCGUGUGUGUGUGUCCGUAAAACCGUUUUGUCGAUCACGCGAUAAAUCGCCGCAGUUAUCGUAACAGGCGGGACGCACGCCG